GACGAACGCUGGCGGCGUGCCUAAUACAUGCAAGUUGAGCGGUGAAGGUUGGUACUUGUACCAACUGGAUGAGCAGCGCACGGGUGAGUAACGCGUGGGGAAUGUGCCUUUGAGCGGGGGACAACAUGGGAAAACGAAUGCUAAUACCGCAUAAAAACCUUAAACACAAGUUUGAAGGGUGAAAGAUGCAAUUGCAGCACGCAAACAUGAUCCCGCGUUGUAUUAGCUAGUUGGUGCGGUAAAGGCUCACCGAGGUGAUGUUGCAUAGCCGCCCUGAGAGGGUGAUCGGCCACAGUGGGACUGUGACACGCCCCAAACGCCCUCGGGUGGCAGCAGUAGUGCAUCUUCGGCAAUGGGUGGAGGUCUUACCGCGCUGCGCCGCGGCAGGGUAGAGGGUUUUCGGAUCGUAGAAGUCUGCUGGUAGAGUAGAACGCUGGUGAGCGUGUAACGCUCAUCAAGUGACGGUAACGAGCAAGAAAGCGACGGCUAACUACGUG
rnacentral:rRNA from 1 species